GAUACGGGACUCAUCCGAGGCCCCGUAAUCGGAAUGAAUACACUUUAAAUCCUUUAAUGAGGAUCCAUUGGAGGGCAAGUCUGGUGCCAGCAGCCGCGGUAAUUCCAGCUCCAAUAGCGUAUAUUAAAGUUGUUGCGGUUAAAAAGCUCGUAGUUGAAUCUGUGUUUCAUACUGUUGGUUCAUCGCUCGCGGUGUUAACUGACAUGUUAUGGAACGUCCUACCGGUGGAUUUAGCUUAAGUGUCAAAACUUUAGCGGUCCAAUUUAAUCCUAUCGCGGUGCUCUUAAUUGAGUGUCGAGGUAGGCCGGUACGUUUACUUUGAACAAAUUAGAGUGCUUAAAGCAGGCUUAUUUUGCCUGAAUACUGUGUGCAUGGAAUAAUAGAAUAGGACCUCGGUUCUAUUUUGUUGGUUUUCGGAAUACCGAGGUAAUGAUUAAUAGGGACAGAUGGGGGCAUUCGUAUUGCGACGUUAGAGGUGAAAUUCUUGGAUCGUCGCAAGACGAACAGAAGCGAAAGCAUUUGCCAAAAAUGUUUUCAUUAAUCAAGAACGAAAGUUAGAGGUUCGAAGGCGAUCAGAUACCGCCCUAGUUCUAACCAUAAACGAUGCCAGCUAGCGAUCCGCCGAUGUUCCUCCGAUGACUCGGCGGGCAGCUUCCGGGAAACCAAAGCUUUUGGGUUCCGGGGGAAGUAUGGUUGCAAAGCUGAAACUUAAAGGAAU
rnacentral:rRNA from 1 species